GGAGAGGUGCCGGAGCGGUCGAACGGGCCGGUCUCGAAAACCGGAGUAGGGGCAACUCUACCGUGGGUUCGAAUCCCACCCUCUCCGCCA
rnacentral:tRNA from 5 species